rnacentral:rRNA from 1 species
ACGCUCGACACCUACGGGAGCCAGCAGUCGGGAAUAUUGCGCAAUGGAGGAAACUCUGACGCAGUGACGCCGCGUGCAGGAAGAAGGUUUUCGGAUUGUAAACUGCUUUAGACAGGGAAGAAAAAGGACAGUACCUGUAGAAUAAGCUCCGGCUAACUACGUGCCAGCAGCCGCGGUAAUCUGAGCGGGCUGGCAAGGC